GACGAACGCUGGCGGCGUGCUUAACACAUGCAAGUCGAACGAUGAAGCUCUAGCUUGCUGGGGUGGAUUAGUGGCGAACGGGUGAGUAACACGUGAGUAACCUGCCCUUUACUUCGGGAUAAGCUUGGGAAACUGGGUCUAAUACCGGAUAUUCUGCGUGAUCGGAUGGUUGUGUAGGAAAGAUUUUUUGGUAAGGGAUGGGCUCGCGGCCUAUCAGUUUGUUGGUGGGGUGAUGGCCUACCAAGACGACGACGGGUAGCCGGCCUGAGAGGGCGACCGGCCACACUGGGACUGAGACACGGCCCAGACUCCUACGGGAGGCAGCAGUGGGGAAUAUUGCACAAUGGGGGAAACCCUGAUGCAGCGACGCCGCGUGGGGGAUGACGGCCUUCGGGUUGUAAACCUCUUUCAGUAGGGAAGAAGCGAAAGUGACGGUACCUGCAGAAGAAGUACCGGCUAACUACGUGCCAGCAGCCGCGGUAAUACGUAGGGUACUAGCGUUGUCCGGAAUUAUUGGGCGUAAAGAGCUCGUAGGUGGUUUGUCGCGUCUGCUGUGGAAACGUGCCGCUUAACGGUGCGCGUGCAGUGGGUACGGGCGGACUAGAGUGCAGUAGGGGAGUCUGGAAUUCCUGGUGUAGCGGUGAAAUGCGCAGAUAUCAGGAGGAACACCGGUGGCGAAGGCGGGACUCUGGGCUGUUACUGACGCUGAGGAGCGAAAGCAUGGGGAGCGAACAGGAUUAGAUACCCUGGUAGUCCAUGCCGUAAACGUUGGGCACUAGGUGUGGGGUCCAUUCCACGGAUUCUGCGCCGUAGCUAACGCAUUAAGUGCCCCGCCUGGGGAGUACGGCCGCAAGGCUAAAACUCAAAGGAAUUGACGGGGGCCCGCACAAGCGGCGGAGCAUGCGGAUUAAUUCGAUGCAACGCGAAGAACCUUACCAAGGCUUGACAUGCACUAGACCAUCGCAGAGAUGUGGUUUUCUUUUUGACUGGUGUACAGGUGGUGCAUGGUUGUCGUCAGCUCGUGUCGUGAGAUGUUGGGUUAAGUCCCGCAACGAGCGCAACCCUCGUUCUAUGUUGCCAGCACGUGAUGGUGGGAACUCAUGGGAGACUGCCGGGGUCAACUCGGAGGAAGGUGGGGAUGACGUCAAAUCAUCAUGCCCUUAUGUCUUGGGCUUCACGCAUGCUACAAUGGCCGGUACAGAGGGUGGCGAUACCGUGAGGUGGAGCGAAUCUCUUAAAGCCGGUCUCAGUUCGGAUCGUAGUCUGCAACUCGACUACGUGAAGUCGGAGUCGCUAGUAAUCGCAGAUCAGCAAUGCUGCGGUGAAUACGUUCCCGGGCCU
rnacentral:rRNA from 1 species